CAUCAGAUGCGACAAACAGACUGGACUCGCAGUGUCCCGUGACUCUUAGUGGUGUCACGUGUUCCCACAGGAGGUGUCACCAUUUAGCCGUGAACCUCCCCCUUCUGACCGGAUACUCGUUUGAAAUCCUUCAUUUCCGUCUUAUCGCGAGGUUGCCCC